rnacentral:rRNA from 1 species
UGGUGGAGCGAUUUGUCUGGUUAAUUCCAAUAACGAACGAGACUCUGGCCUAUUAAAUAGUUCGCCGAUUCCGAUCUGUCGGCGUUAACUUCUUAGAGGGACAAGUGGCUUUUAGCCACGCGAGAUUGAGCAAUAACA